GAAUACAAAAACAAAAACUCAAUCAUCAAUAACAAGUAGGCCUUACCUUACAUAAUUCAUCAAAUACUAAAAGCAUGUAAGAAAUUUACAUCUUUAACUUAUGCUAAAUUUACAUCAAAUACUAAAACUCCCAUUCCAUAUUCUGUUGCUGACCUCCCAAUAUCUAAAGGCACUGGACCCUAUAUAAGAGGGGGAAAAAAGUUCAGUUAAUCCAUGGAGAACAUUUAAUUCAAAAUAAAAUCACACAAGUCAAGAUCAAGCCAAUCAUCGCACCAAAAGUCUCAAAUUGAAAUUUUUGAGAAUUUUUCAUUUAACAACUUGAACUAAAACCAACCACAAAUGAAAAAACCCUCAUUCCAUAUCGGUUUUCUUUUUCUUCUGAUAUCUUAAUGGCAGCAUUGAGAGAAUGUAAAUGCUUGACGAAUUUGAGUAAAAUCAAAAGAAAGUUGUCUUGCCUUGGUAGGAAGCACAAUGGCAAUUGAAUGUUGAUACUAAGAACAAGUGACAUAAAUAGACAGGAAAAAUGACAUUUAGUGUGAAGCAUAAUAAACAAAUGCUGCAUUGAAUAAGUUAUGUUUCAAGUUCGGGAGGGAGGAACUAACCUAUAUGCAAGUAGAUUACAUGACCUUGAGUGAUUCAUAGAGAGGGGAAAAUGUCGAUUUCUCCGUACCCGAACUCUCUACGCUCAUUUUCUUUUGACAUUGGGAUUUUCUUUGAAAAUUGAUAGAAUCUUUUGUACCCAUUAUGUUUAACCAACUUCUAAUGGAUUAGAAAUAUGAAUUUCAUGGGUUGAAAUGAGAAUUUGUAGAUGUUUGUUCAAGAACAUGUGUGUGUG
rnacentral:lncRNA from 1 species